AGCCCAGAGCCUGAAUCAGUGUGUGUGUUAGUGGAAGCGUCUGGAAAGGCGCGCGAUACAGGGUGACAGCCCCGUACACAAAAAUGCACAUGCUGUGAGCUCGAUGAGUAGGGCGGGACACGUGGUAUCCUGUCUGAAUAUGGGGGGACCAUCCUCCAAGGCUAAAUACUCCUGACUGACCGAUAGUGAACCAGUACCGUGAGGGAAAGGCGAAAAGAACCCCGGCGAGGGGAGUGAAAAAGAACCUGAAACCGUGUACGUACAAGCAGUGGGAGCACGCUUAGGCGUGUGACUGCGUACCUUUUGUAUAAUGGGUCAGCGACUUAUAUUCUGUAGCAAGGUUAACCGAAUAGGGGAGCCGAAGGGAAACCGAGUCUUAACUGGGCGUUAAGUUGCAGGGUAUAGACCCGAAACCCGGUGAUCUAGCCAUGGGCAGGUUGAAGGUUGGGUAACACUAACUGGAGGACCGAACCGACUAAUGUUGAAAAAUUAGCGGAUGACUUGUGGCUGGGGGUGAAAGGCCAAUCAAACCGGGAGAUAGCUGGUUCUCCCCGAAAGCUAUUUAGGUAGCGCCUCGUGAAUUCAUCUCCGGGGGUAGAGCACUGUUUCGGCAAGGGGGUCAUCCCGACUUACCAACCCGAUGCAAACUGCGAAUACCGGAGAAUGUUAUCACGGGAGACACACGGCGGGUGCUAACGUCCGUCGUGAAGAGGGAAACAACCCAGACCGCCAGCUAAGGUCCCAAAGUCAUGGUUAAGUGGGAAACGAUGUGGGAAGGCCCAGACAGCCAGGAUGUUGGCUUAGAAGCAGCCAUCAUUUAAAGAAAGCGUAAUAGCUCACUGGUCGAGUCGGCCUGCGCGGAAGAUGUAACGGGGCUAAACCAUGCACCGAAGCUGCGGCAGCGACACUAUGUGUUGUUGGGUAGGGGAGCGUUCUGUAAGCCUGUGAAGGUGUGCUGUGAGGCAUGCUGGAGGUAUCAGAAGUGCGAAUGCUGACAUAAGUAACGAUAAAGCGGGUGAAAAGCCCGCUCGCCGGAAGACCAAGGGUUCCUGUCCAACGUUAAUCGGGGCAGGGUGAGUCGACCCCUAAGGCGAGGCCGAAAGGCGUAGUCGAUGGGAAACAGGUUAAUAUUCCUGUACUUGGUGUUACUGCGAAGGGGGGACGGAGAAGGCUAUGUUGGCCGGGCGACGGUUGUCCCGGUUUAAGCGUGUAGGCUGGUUUUCCAGGCAAAUCCGGAAAAUCAAGGCUGAGGCGUGAUGACGAGGCACUACGGUGCUGAAGCAACAAAUGCCCUGCUUCCAGGAAAAGCCUCUAAGCAUCAGGUAACAUCAAAUCGUACCCCAAACCGACACAGGUGGUCAGGUAGAGAAUACCAAGGCGCUUGAGAGAACUCGGGUGAAGGAACUAGGCAAAAUGGUGCCGUAACUUCGGGAGAAGGCACGCUGAUAUGUAGGUGAAGUCCCUCGCGGAUGGAGCUGAAAUCAGUCGAAGAUACCAGCUGGCUGCAACUGUUUAUUAAAAACACAGCACUGUGCAAACACGAAAGUGGACGUAUACGGUGUGACGCCUGCCCGGUGCCGGAAGGUUAAUUGAUGGGGUCAGCGCAAGCGAAGCUCUUGAUCGAAGCCCCGGUAAACGGCGGCCGUAACUAUAACGGUCCUAAGGUAGCGAAAUUCCUUGUCGGGUAAGUUCCGACCUGCACGAAUGGCGUAAUGAUGGCCAGGCUGUCUCCACCCGAGACUCAGUGAAAUUGAACUCGCUGUGAAGAUGCAGUGUACCCGCGGCAAGACGGAAAGACCCCGUGAACCUUUACUAUAGCUUGACACUGAACAUUGAGCCUUGAUGUGUAGGAUAGGUGGGAGGCUUUGAAGUGUGGACGCCAGUCUGCAUGGAGCCGACCUUGAAAUACCACCCUUUAAUGUUUGAUGUUCUAACGU
rnacentral:rRNA from 1 species